rnacentral:rRNA from 1 species
UACGGAGGGGGCCAGCGUUGUUCGGAAUCAUUGGGCGUAAAGGGCGCGUAGGCGGCUUUGUAAGUCCGUUGUGAAAUCCCCUCGGCUCAACCGAGGAACUGCGACGGAUACUGCUUGGCUUGAGUCCCGGAGAGGGUAGCGGAAUUCCCAGUGUAGCGGUGAAAUGCGUAGAUAUUGGGGAGGAACAUCGGUGGCGAAGGCGGCUACCUGGACGGGUACUGACGCUGAUGCGCGAAAGCUAGGGGAGCAAACAGG